CAUAAAGAGGGAAGCAGGAUACAUGUGAUUGGAAAAUAAAUUUCUUUGAGAUUUUUUUUAAAAAUUGUUGAAAUGAUUUAUACAUGAUCGGUAGCUAUGUCAAGUUGACAAUCUAUUCGUGACCUUGUACUCAAGUGGAUGAAAUAGACCAGAUAGUUGAUUUCCGAUAUGCACUGAUAUAGUUUUGGUGGAUUAUCAAAUGAUUAAUUAGAAUAGGAGCAUACAGUGGGAUUACAUGGAUUAAGACCAGCUGAUUUUUCAUGCAACUGAAUCAUCAGACACGGCAAGUGACAAUUGACAACUGCGGAAGGUUGGAUGACAUAUGAUAGUGAAAGUCUAGAAAGAGUGCAUGGAUUUAGUUCUGAAGAUUUAUAUCUGCUGGUUUGAUCACAAAGGAAUGCAAGGAAGGCUGUGUGGAUCAGACGGGUAGCUGCAUUUGAUAAUGAGUAGGGAUCAAAUACACUGGGGUCAGUUCGUCACUCCAGGGCUUCUGCUCUUUUAUAUUGCUGGAUGGAUCGGAUAUGUAGGAAGGAGCUACUUGAUUGUAAUCAGAGAUGAAGAAGCGAACAUUGAAAUCAUAAUCAAUGAUCCCUUUGUUAUUUAGUUUCAAAGCUCAGAGGAUUCGGCUAGCUUACCUCAAUGUAUUACAAAUUUACAUUAUAUCUUAAUUCAGUAAGGUUCAUUGCUAUCUAGAUACAAUUACAAUUCAGUUUCACUGUUGUAGCAUGCCGAUAGCAAGUAGUUGAAAAUUCUUAUUAAUCGGA